rnacentral:lncRNA from 1 species
GCAUAAUAUUCUGAGCAAUUUUGCAACAAUAAAUGGUGGAAUAGGCAAGCAUUUCAAGAAUCAACCAAGAAAAAAUUCAAGAAAAGAAAAAGUUUACAUACAUACACUUCAAGUGUACACAACAGCAUGUCAGAGGCACAAUUAUGGGCAGUGAAAAGGGCAGCUACCUUUGUUAGAAUAUUAUUUUCAGUAGUGUGACUUCUGUUUAUACUGCAUUUGUUUAACUCUGUGAAGCUGAGUUACUGUGCCUGUCUAAAACACCUCAUGGUCCUAAUAAAGAGCUGAAUGGUCAAUAGUGAGGCAGGAGCAAGGAUAAGCAGGGCUGGCAAAAAGUAUAAAUAAAAGGAGAAAGGAGGGAGAAAAGAAGGAGAGGAGAAUGUCAGGGACCAGCCACCCAGCCAGCCACAGAGCAGGAAGGAAAGUAAAAUUUACAGAAGAAAAAGAUAAAACCCCAGAGACAAAAGGUAGAUGGCGUAAUUUAAAUUAAGAAAAGCUGGCGAGAAAUAAGCCAAGCUAAGGCUGGGCAUUCAUGACUACGAAUAAGCCUCCAUGUGCAAUUUAUCUGGAAGCUGGGUGGCGGGCCCCCCAAAAAAGACAAAAGAGAAAAGAGUAAAACAAUACAGCUACUCCGAACUAGAGAAAGGCCCAUAGACCUUUCAGGCCCCAGGUAAACUCAUUUAUGUCUUUGUCUACAGAGAAAGGAAUUAUUACCUCAUCAGGAAUCUGCCAUAAAGACCAAGACACACUAGCUGUUGAUGCAACAUGCUUCUCACACAAUCACCUAACUGUGUAAGAUCAGACUCUUUUACCUCAUGGCUACAAAAACUAAAGCCAAUGAGCCAAACCUAUGCAUUCUCCUCAAUUCAAGGCAAAGGGUGAAAUCCAUGCAUGUCUAAAAAACUUCCCAGGAAAAACUUGUGCUAUGAGAUAUGUGGCAUGUGGUGGUUUGAAUGAAAAUGGCCCCCAUUGGACCAUAGGGAGAGGCACUAUUAGGGGGUUUGGCCUUCCUGGAGAAGGUGUGGCUUUGUUGAAGGAUGUGUGUCACUGCAGGCUUUGAGGUCUCAGAUCCUCAAGCCAGGACUAGUGUUUCACUCACUCUUCCUGAUGCCUUCAGAUCCAGAUAUAGGACUCUUAGCUACCUCUCCAGCACCAGGUCUGCUUAUGUGCUCCUUGCCAUGAUGACAAUGGACUAAACCUCUAAGCUUGUAAGGCAGGCCCAAUUAAAUGUUUUCUUUUAUAAUGGUUGCCAAGGUCAUGGUGUCUCUUCACAGCAGUAAAAUCCUAACUAAGACAUGGCAUAAAUUAAAAUUCACAACGAUAGAAAUCAAAUAAUUAGCAUAAAAAUCUUUUGCCAACAUACCACAAAUUAUCUUGGACGGUUUUAAAAAGCCAAACACAAUGAAGCCAGCAGGUGAAACUCCUGACUACUAUUCAGCCUCAGACCUGCAAUAUCCCAGGAAUUCUGCUAGGAUGAGGGGUUACUGUGUCACUAACUCCUGAAGAACUCCCACUCUGUUCAAAGCAACAGACUUGUAAACAGACAAAUUUAAGAUAACAAUUUAUGUUUUAGAAGUACUCGGGACUGGAGAGAUAGCUGACAGGGAAAAAUGUUUGCUGUGCAAGCAUAAGGAUUUGAGUUUGGAUCCUCAGCACACACUUAAAAAUCCAGGUGUGGCAGGUAAAAUCCUAGCACUAGGGAGGCAGGCUGAGCCCUGGGGUCUGUUGUCCAGGCAGUUAAUAAUUAGUGAGCAUGAGUUUCGGAGAGAGCCCUGUCUUAAAAGAUAAUGUAGACUCACACAGGAAGACACCUGGAGAGUGUGUGACAUGAACUCAUUGCACACACACACACACACACACACACACACACACACACACAGAGAGAGAGAGAGAGAGAGAGAGAGAGAGAGAGAGAGAGAGAGAGAGAUACCUCCACUCCCUCUGGCUCAAACAGUCAUUCUUUCCAGCUUCUCAGCACUAUUAGAAUCCAAAAUAGGAAAUUCCAUCCUUCUGUCAUUGUUGAAUACAUGGGAAUCUGAAUCCAUCAUUUCUGUUUAAAGUAUCUUUCAGAAGUCUGUAAUUAAGAGACAAUACUGAAACCAAAAAUCUAGUUUACACAGAUUGCCUGUCACACGUCAGGCAGGCAAUUAUAGGGAAAGCGAUUGGCCUGUUCUCAGAAAAGAACAGAAAAGAAUUUUCAAAUUAAGGAAGGGCAGUGUUUCCUUUCUAUGCAUUAGCCCAGUGAAUCAUUAUUACAUUAACAACAGAAAUUAAAAUAAGAAAGCCACAGGUAAUUAUAAAAUGUGAAAUGUGGACUGAGGAGAAGGAUUCGAUUGGUAAAAGUGUUUGCUGCUGGAGACUGAUCACCUGGGUUCAACAUCCAGCACCCAUGUAAAAAGCAGAUGCUGUGGUCCAUCAGUAAUCCUAGGCUUCCAGAGACAAGGUGAGAAACAGGACAGGAGGACAGAGUCGCAGGCCACACUGCCUCAGCGAGGAGGGAAGUUGAGGACUGACUCCCAGAAAAUGCUGUCCUCUGAGCUUUUCACAUCUGCGCACAUAUGAGAACUGUCACACAGUUAAAGUAAAAAUAAGUAAUAAAACAUGAAAUUCAAGUCAAUCUAGAUGUUCUGCUAAGCUGCCCACUGUAAAAGUUGUAGGGGAGGUUAAGACUGAAGAACACAGGUUAUAAAAAGUAACAUGCUGUGGUGACGCCAUUCUCAAUCCAAAGCCAGCAUGACUCAGUUGACUUGAAAUGGAAAACUUGAUCUUGGAUUUCUGUAUAUUUUUUUAAAAGAUGCUAUCCCAGUAAUAAUACAAUUUUUAUGUUUUUAGUUGAAGACUAAAUUCUAUUACAUAUAACAACCGAGAACUGUCUCUAGCCAUCAGUACAAGCAUUUCUGUGUGCAUACUUUCCCCUCCCCUACAACUGUUACUAAUCUCACCCUUAUUUCCUACCUGGAAAUAAGGAAUAAGGAAACAUUAAAAGUAUAAAAUGACUGCAGCAUAGACAUGGGAAUGCUUCUGUGCAGGAAAGCUGGAAGAGCGGCUCAUCAAAGCCUGGCCUUUAAAGUGGGCCUUGAACAGGAGCAGUGCUUUGUAAUAUGAGGGAUUUAGUGAAGAGGAGUGUGACAUGCAAAGGCAGGGAACUGUGAACAGCUGUUGUGCACAUCUGGGAUCAGCAAGGUCUCCCAGUAUGACUGGGGUGAUGACUGUGCCAGCGGGGGGAGCCUGGACCACACAGCAGGGUCUAACUAGAUGACCACUAAUUUGUGAGAUGCCAAGUUAGAAGAAGCACCUAAUCUUGGAGGGGUAGGUGUAGGGGAUUUUGUGAUGGAGUUUCAGAGUCCUAAAUGAUGUUAACUCCAAGUGAUGGUUUUCCAGAUAUGGAGAACAGCAAAGAGCGAAUGUUUUGCAACCAACUGUCCACAACUGUUACAUCUGAUCAAUUAAAAAAUGUCAUCUUUUGCCAUCAUGAUGUCAAAUUUCGAUUUUCAACCACGAUCCUUUUGCUUGCCUCCAAACAAUUUUGCUUCUCCAAUAUGUUCUGUCAUUUGCAAUAUAUUAGGAAACUAAUUGUGAAAUUUUUACAGGAAUGAAUCUAAACUAUGAGUAAACAUGACAAGUAAACACCUAAACUGAAAAGAGGCUUUUGGAGUUUUGACAGGAGGAAUUUGGCUUCUUAAAAUGCUUUUCUGCCAAUUUCCUGAUUUUCUCCUUUGUUUUACAUGGUUCAGGAAAUUGGAUGAACAACAGCCCCAGGCUAGCCCAGAAAAUACUCCACAGCUCUUAACCUUUUCUCUAGCCCUGCUGCUGCUUUCAUUCUUUCCGAUUACAAGGAAGCAAUCAGUGCAGGAACAGAACUCAAGACUUGAGAUUGGGUCUCACUGUGUAGUCCCGGUAGCCUGGAAUUUGCUCUGUAGAUGAGGCUGGCCUACAAAUCACAAAGAUCUGACAGCUUCUGUGUCCCAAGUGAUGAGAUUAGUGUGCCACCAUGCUCAGCCAAGACUGGUAUUUAUUGACUUCAACAUAAAAAGUACACUAUGGUACACACUUCUUUUAUACCCAUAAUUUUUUCUUUAAAUGUUAUUACUUACAUAGAAAAAAAAUCCUACUUGUUCUGCACUCUCAGCAAUUUAUAUAUGAGCAGCUAAUAAUGUAAAAAUGGUACAACCAACUACAUAAUCUUUUCUUUUCUCUUUCCCCACCAUAUCCCACUUCUGUAGCUGUCAUCUUAAUCCAAAAGCCCACAAUUCCUGUUUUAUCUGUGGCUUUCAAUGAUGACCUCCAGCUUCUUGUAUAUAUUUACAGUUUCAGCUAAAUAAACAUCUCUCAAGAACCCUAAAACCAAUAUAAUUUCCUCAGUUCUGGGGGUAUGUACUUUAUGAGGCUAGCAGCUGAUAGCAAAUACAUGUAGGAGUGUGGCCAAAGAACCUUGUCAACAGUUUUCACUUAUUUCAGGACAAAUAUCCUCACCUGACAGCAUCUCUCUUGGGGAACCAUGCAAUCUGAAUUAACUAUGCUACACGAAUUAAUACAUAUCAAGAUAGGGGGCAGGGGACAAGCCUGACAUUAUAUAACUGAAUGCAGAGCCUAACUCACCAGCCCUUGGUGAGCUUGUGGAAACACAAGCCAAGCUCCAUGCCACUUAGGAAAACAUUCAGGAGCAACUUUAAAGAAUUGACACAAUGGCAGCAAAACUGCUGAGGUCUGAAAGCGCAUCCCAGAAUGCUCCUCUGAUUUAUAAGGAAAAACAGAAAAAGCUAGAAAUGAUAGACCCCUUUAAUAUAGGGAACAAGCAAGUAGGACAGGUGCACACACACGAUACUGGUUGUUGUAAGCAAGCAGCACCCGAUGAAAACCUUCACAGAAAAGGAAAACGAGGAGCAGUGGGUGUGCAGGGUCAUGGCUCCAGUCUCUUUCAGCAGAGUCCCACCAUGAUUACCCCAGGACCCCCCACCCCCACAUAUACACACACACAAACUUGUGCACACAGGGGCACUCAUGUGCACACUUCUCCCCAUCAUUCUCUGUCCCUUGGUCUUUUUUCUUUCUUUCUUUCUUUUUUUUAUAAUAAGACAGAAUGUCAUGUAGCCUAGUUUGGUUUUGAACUCCUGAUCUUGUCUCCCCAUUUAAAUAUAUAUAUGUAUAUAUAUUUAAAAAUUAUCUUCCACUCAAAAUCUGAAGUUUGAAAAAAAAUCAGAAAAUAUCAUAUGAAAAUCUACUAAAAUACCUUGAAAUGUCUCUACAAUUUUAUUUUACCUACAAUGUAGCAUUAUAGUAUUAGUUCCACACAGACAUCUCCAUAAAUUUAGAUAGAUGUUAAAACGUAUGUAGUUAUCUGUUCUAAAAAAGCAAAAGCAAACCACAUUGUUCUGGUCUGGGGAAUGACUCUGGUACUCUGAGCUCAUAGUUGCUUAGGUAUCUACAAGGUUUCUCUUCCUAGUCACUGCCCCUUAGAUCAGCACAUCUUUCUAUUUACAGAGGUAGUGAAUUCUCCUUGCAGAAAGGGUUAAUUUAUAAAGCAUAUAGCAGACAUGACUAAAUCUUCUCAUUUGUAUCAUUUAGGCAGCUAACACGUCAGACAGCUUAAAGUUAAAAAAGAAAGCAGGAGCUGUUGAUAAACUCUCAUUCCCAGCACACUACUGCUUCUAAUAGAUGGAACGAGUAUUUUAUUUUUAUUUUAUGUGUACUAGUGCCUGUAUGUAUGUCUGUGUGACCAAUACAUACGUGCCUGGUACCUAAAGGGACCAGAAAAGGGAAUCAGAUGCCCCAGAACUGGAGUUACUGACAUUUGUGAGCCACUAUGUGGAUCCUUGGGAUGGAACCUAUGUCCUCUGUAAGAGAAGCCAGUACUCUUAAGAGUGGAGCAGAGACAAAUAUCUAAUAGAAUCAGAAGACAAUGAAUAUGAGCUCAAUACUAGAUACAAGAAGCUCAUUCAAGUCACACAGAAUUUGACAGGUAUAAACAGGCACCAUGUCAAGAGCAAGUGAUAGAAAAAUUAACGUUCUCUACUCUCAAACUCAACAGGUCCUGGAAGUGUCAAACAGGUAUACAAUUUUAAAAAGUGCUAUUGGAGUUUGAGAAUGCAAUGGAAAGACUUGUAAACCAUUAGGAAACAUUAUAUACAGAACAAGAAAAAAAAUUCCAAAACACCUGACUCUGGGAAGCUGGAAGGAAAUUGGAAUACAUCAAAAGCCACAUUUUAAAAAAUUUAAUAAUUAUAAAGGGCAUAGUCAUAAGUAGAGACAAACACCUACAAUUAAAGAUUCAUACUGAGAGAUUAAUUAACAGAGAGGAAACAUAUCCAUAUAAGGGACUAGCCACAGGACAGAUCAAUUUACAUCAUGUUAAAGAGAAAACUUACAGAGGGGAAAUCAUGUCAGUUUUUUAAAAACAAUACAUUCAUACUUUAUUACUUCAAGGAAGUGAAAACAUAUACAGCACCAAAAUAAUUAAAAUUUAAAGUUGGUUGUAUAUCAGACACAGAAUAAGUGAUUUUCUUUUAAAAAUUUUUUUAUCUUAAGGUAAUUUUUAUCUCCAUAUAGUCUGUGCACCACCACCAUGUGUGCCUAGUGACUGUGGAGGGCAGAAGAAGGCAUCAGAUACCCUAGAACUAGAGUUAUAGGAGGUUCUAAGCCACCAUGUGGGUGUUAGCAAUCAAACCUGGGUACUCUUGGACCCAGUGCUCAGUGCUCUUAACCACUGAGCCAUCUCUCCAGUCUGACUUUCUUUUACAUUACUCUAUAUCUUCCAAACAUCAUCUAAAAUUAGUGGUAUUUUACUUUUAGGUAGUAAAACGCUAGUAAGUCACUGUAUUUGUAGAUAACUGUGUGUGAGGUAUGUGCGGUUUCAUGUGUAGAGGUAUACACAUACACCUGUGUGCAUGUGUAUAUGGAAGCCGAUGAUGGGUUAGGUACCUUUCUCUUGCUCUCUACUUUAUUUAAGAUGGCAGGGUCUCUCACUGAACCCAUAGCUCACUGAUUCAGCUAAUCAGCUUGCUCCCUGUCUCUAACUCUCAAGGAUGGACCAGAAGUGAGCCUCCACACUCACCUGGCAUUUAGAGGGUGUUAGAGAUCCAAACUCCUGUCCCUUUGUGUAUGCCAAACAUUUUAUUCAUUCACUCAAUCAUCUCCCCACCCCGAGAAUAAUCUUUGAAAACAAUAAAUAACCCCUUUAAUCUGUUUCUGUAGACUAUCUCACCUACAAAUCCCACAGAACCCACUCACUUAACUGUCUUAGAACAGUGGGUUACAAGUAAAAAAAAGUAUAUGGCAAUUCAUCUUAUUCAAUUAUUUUAAAUUUCCUUUUUCUGGUCAGAGUAACUGAAAUUAGUUAGGUACUAGAAAAAUAGCUCUAAAACAUGACUAUGAUAUUAUAUGGCAAUCCACUGUUCUUUUAACUAAGGACUUAGGAAUUUGAACUUUAAGUAGGAUGGGCUUGAAGGAGAAAUGAAGGUGGAGAAAUGAAGAAAUGAAAAAAAGACCUGCAAAGUAUCUACAGAAUAUCUUUGAAAAAAAAAAUCAGUCACAUCUGCAUUACUCCUUUAUGUUUCUAUAAAAGUGAAUUAUUUUUAUCCAAAGUAACUUGGUUUGUAUAUAUAAGUCACUAGAGAUUGCAAAAAGACACAGGAAUUAACAGGUGACAUAUCUGGGAUACCUACAUAUUUAAAUUUAUUCAUCCAUAGUUUUGACAAAAUUUUACCGAACAUUAAGUUUGUUUAGAGCAAAGAUCCACAAUACUCUUUUAAAUAUCCAUAAUCUCCUUAGUUGUCCUAUAUCAUUUUCUACUCAGAGGCAACUAUAAACUAUGCUUUUCAAUCUAUUAACUAUUCAUUUUAUUACUUAUUAUGUUUCAGAUUUUAGAUACUGCUUCCCACCUCUACCCCAAAUACUGCAAGUAUAAAAGGCUAAUUACCAACCUAGCCUACUGUGAGGCAGUGGACAUACUAGAAGGAAGUUAGGUCACUGAGGGUGUGCCCUUGAAGGAGAUACUAGAGCCUGCCCAUUCCCUGCUUCUGGGCUACCCUGGGGUUAUCGAGUCCUCUAUCUACCACAUGCUUCUGCCACAACAUGCCUUACCACAGGCCCAGACCAAUUGGGCAAGGCAAUCAGGAACCCAAAUCUCUGAAAUCAUGAGCCCAAAUCAGCUUCUCCUCCAAGUUGACUUAUUUGGGGUAUAUCACUACAAUGAUGGCAAGGUGAUUAACAGUGCCUAUCUUCAUCUUUACAGAUAAUUCUGACAGCACAGCUCCCCUGCUUUUCCAGUCUGAGGUUUCAGAUACUCUUUUCAGCAACACUUUCCUCUAGCUCCCAGCACCAACACAGAUGAUGCCUAAAGUUCUCUGAUCUAAACGAUAGAGUAGUACAAGUCAGUAAUAACAUGAUUUAUUUGAACCAAAAUGCCUGUUAAUAGAAUAAAUUGUGUUAUAACUGUAUAAUGAUGUCCUCAUCAGAAAUAAAAAGAAACAAACUAUUAAUAGAUACAUGGAUGGAUUCCAAAUAAUUAGACUGAGCAUAUACUGUAUGAUUCUACAUACAUAUAGUUGUAGAAAUUUCAAAUUAAUCUAUGGGGACAGAUCAGUGGUUACCUGAGGAGAGCAGCAGGGAGCUCGUGGGGGGUAGUACGUAUAAAGAGAUCUAAAGACAUUUUUGGGGAGAUGACUACACUUAGUAAUUGACGGUGGUAAAUCACAACUCUCACUUUAAACAAUAUGAUGUUUACUGCACAGUAUCAAAUCUUAAAAAAGCAUUAAGAAAAAUUUUAUAUUUGAUUUUUUUUAAGUAAGACAACCAGGGUAAAUCAAAGGUAUAACUACCAGUAUGUGCUUUCUAAUGAAUUUCACUACAGAAGACCUGGCAAAGACUCCUUCCCU